GGGGAUUUGGCUCAGUGGUAGAGCACUUGCCUAGCAAGCACAAGGCCCUGGGUUCGGUCCCCAGUUCCG
rnacentral:tRNA from 1 species